UACGUAGGGUGCGAGCGUUAAUCGGAAUUACUGGGCGUAAAGCGUGCGCAGGCGGUUUUGUAAGCCAGAUGUGAAAUCCCCGGGCUCAACCUGGGAAUGGCAUUUGGGACUGCAAGGCUGGAGUGCGGCAGAGGAGACUGGAAUUCCUGGUGUAGCGGUGAAAUGCGCAGAUAUCAGGAGGAACACCAAUGGCGAAGGCAGCUCGCUGGGACGGUACUGACGCUGAGACGCGAAAGCGUGGGGAGCAAACAGG
rnacentral:rRNA from 1 species